GCGUCGGUGGUAUAGUGGUUAGCAUAACUGCCUUUCAAGCAGCUGACCCGGGUUCGAUUCCCGGCCAACGCA
rnacentral:tRNA from 1 species